rnacentral:tRNA from 1 species
GCGAGAGUGGUGAAAUUGGCAGACACGCAGGUCUUAGAAGCCUGUGCCGCGAGGCGUAAGGGUUCAAGUCCCUUCUCUCGCA